AGCGAACGCUGGCGGCAGGCCUAACACAUGCAAGUCGAACGAACCUUUCGGGGUUAGUGGCGGACGGGUGAGUAACACGUGGGAACGUGCCUUUAGGUUCGGAAUAACUCAGGGAAACUUGUGCUAAUACCGAAUGUGCCCUUCGGGGGAAAGAUUUAUCGCCUUUAGAGCGGCCCGCGUCUGAUUAGCUAGUUGGUUGAGGUAAUGGCUCACCAAGGCGGCGAUCAGUAGCUGGUCUGAGAGGAUGAUCAGCCACAUUGGGACUGAGACACGGCCCAAACUCCUACGGGAGGCAGCAGUGGGGAAUCUUGAGCAAUGGGCGAAAGCCUGACGCAGCCAUGCCGCGUGAAUGAUGAAGGUCUUAGGAUUGUAAAAUUCUUUCACCGGGGACGAUAAUGACGGUACCCGGAGAAGAAGCCCCGGCUAACUUCGUG
rnacentral:rRNA from 1 species